UACAGAGGUCUCAAGCGUUGUUCGGAUUCAUUGGGCGUAAAGGGUGCGUAGGUGGCGCGCUAAGUCAGGUGUGAAAUCUCGGAGCUUAACUCCGAAACUGCAUUUGAUACUGGCGUGCUUGAGGACUGGAGAGGAGACUGGAAUUCACGGUGUAGCAGUGAAAUGCGUAGAUAUCGUGAGGAAGACCAGUGGCGAAGGCGGGUCUCUGGCCCGGUACUGACGCUGAGGUGCGAAAGCGUGGGGAGCAAACAGG
rnacentral:rRNA from 1 species